CUUCAUUUACAAAUUAUCAUUUUUCCUUCGUAAACAUUCACAGGAUCGAAAACAGAUUUUCUACGGAUAUUUAUAAUGGGGAAUGUUUACAUCUUUCCUCAUUUCGGAAGUCUUUCGGAAUAUCUAGCACAAUUUUUUAAAGUUAUCAUCCGGGCUUUAUAAUGGCUGAUGCAAUGCAAAAUCCCCGUAGACGUUCUUUUUUUAGCCGUGUAUUAAAACCUGACAAGCUAGAGGGGGCGUUUGAAAAGGGAAAUCUUGGGAUUUUUUCAUACUAUCGAAUGAACAUCGUCUGAAUCAAGAGAUAUUUACAAAUAUCAAAUAAUUUAAGAGAAUGUGUGGCAAAAAUAUCUUGGGACAGACCUUAGGUAUAAUACGUUUAUAUAUCCUUACAAUAUAAUGAUUUUCUCAUGCGUUACCUAACUAGGGAUAUUAGGGGCCAGAGGUAAAAUAGUUUAAUCUUGUCUAUUUCAAUUGAAAGAAAUGCAAGUAUUUAAAAAAGCAACGUAAGAGAACUUGUAAAAAGCAUUACAGGUAGGCAUUAGUACUUCACUCCUAUUUCCAUAUCAUGUUUUGUUGUUGAAAAUUAAAGUCGAUGACGUGAUUUACCUUUUUAAAAUCGGACGGAAGACCUCCUCGUUGCUCGCAACGAGAUCGUGUCUAGUUAUUAUUAUUAUUCUUUUUCUUUUCUUCUGACUCCUAUUUUGCUUCAUAACUCAAAAGGGUUUUAACCGAUUUUGAUGAAAUUUUCAGAGAUUUUUGCACGUUAGCGUCCCUCAAUAAUGUGAAAGUUUUAAAGAGAACGUCACCUCCGUUUUGACGUGACGUCACUUUUAAAAAUUUUAAAAAGUCAUUUUGUCCGGGAUUUUUCUCAAAAACGCUUUAAGAUAGAGGCUUGAAAUUUUCAAUGGUUAUGAUUUGGUCGAUUUACCUCUGUAAUAAGGCUCGAAAUGAAAAUCUGUCACUUCUGGUCGAAACCGGAAGUGAAACAAAUUUUUCGAAAAAAUGAAUUUUCUGAUCAAAUCAAAAAUGAAUAUGCGUUUUGUAGAGCUUAUCAAACUGAAUCUAACACUGAAAGCCGUUUUAAAAUCGGACGAUGCAUUACAGAGUAAUCGGGGUUUAAAAAUUGAUUUUUCCGGAAAUUUUGAUUCCGCGUCCUUGGUUUAAAAAAUAGCGUUAUGUUCAAAGUAAAAUUAACUCGUACCAAAAGUCUGUUACCAAAAUUAAAUCGAUAAAUGCAUGCUGAUCAUAAAAUAGUUAAUCAGCGUGUUCAUUGAAACGAUGUCGUUAAUUUGAUUGAUUAUUAUACGUCGAGUGUGCUGGCUUGGAAAAUAGUGACAAUUUUUUUUUACCAGAAACAUAUAAUAAAAACGAAGCAGCAAAACAGCAAAACAGUGAAAAGGAAUUGAAAGCCAUUAGUCAAGAAAGACGUUGCUGACAGUUAAUGAAAGCGUAAGUUGAUAUAUAAGCCUUAACCUAAUCGUCACAGACAGUUGUUGAAUAGUCGAACAACACGUAUCCUGACAUUGGAUCAUUGAAUGAAGAGUUUGAAAUAUUUCAAUAUACCUAGGCCGAUUUAUUAUAAUUAUUUACUUGCAAAAUAAAUGCAUAAAUGCUUGUUAUACAUGUUGAAUUGUACUUUGUAUAUCAAACACCGAAAUGAGUAUCGUACGAUUCGUCACGUCAACGCGCCUUGUUUUGAUUGCGAACAGCUGACAGCGAAGUGUCGACAUUUUCAUAUGAUGCAUGGCUUGCAAAACUUCGAUAGUGGAAAAUGCAUCUCAACUAUCGUUUGGGAGAUUAUUAAGCCUAAAACAGACUCUUGUUACAACAUGGCGGACACAUGGCUUUUACCUGUUGAUUCUUGUGGUUUCAGCUCUUGAGGUUAACCUCUCACCCCUACCCACAUGCAUAUUCCUUGUGUUCAACAGACUUUUUACCAGUACAUGUAAUUCAUAUUAAAUCGGAUAAUGCAUGAACAAAAAUGAAACUUUAAGAAAGCAUCAUGCCUUGUUAGGUUUUUGUUGAUAAGAAAUUUAUUAAUGACAAACAAAGUUAAAGCUGUUAAAGGACAUUUACAUUUUUUACAGUAGUUGUGAAGUUUUGUUUUUCAAUAAAAGUCUGCAAUCAUG